UACGUAGGGUGCAAGCGUUAAUCGGAAUACUGGGCGUAAAGCGUGCGCAGGCGGUUAUAUAAGACAGUUGUGAAAUCCCCGGGCUCAACCUGGGAACUGCAUCUGUGACUGUAUAGCUAGAGUACGGUAGAGGGGGAUGGAAUUCCGCGUGUAGCAGUGAAAUGCGUAGAUAUGCGGAGGAACACCGAUGGCGAAGGCAAUCCCCUGGACCUGUACUGACGCUCAUGCACGAAAGCGUGGGGACAACAGG
rnacentral:rRNA from 1 species